UUCCGGUUGAUCCCGCCGGACCUGACUGCUAUCGGAUUGAUACUAAGCCAUGCGAGUCUUUGUAGUAAUACAAGGCAGACGGCUCAGUAACACGUAGUCAACCUACCCUAUGGACGAGAAUAAUCUCGGGAAACUGAGCAUAAUUCUUGAUAGAUCAUAAUGCCUGGAAUGGUUUAUGGUUAAAAUGAUUCGUCGCCAUAGGAUGGGACUGCGGCCUAUCAGCUUGUUGGUGAGGUAAUGGCCCACCAAGGCGAUUACAGGUACGGGCUCUGAGAGGAGAAGCCCGGAGAUGGGUACUGAGACACGGACCCAGGCCCUAUGGGGCGCAGCAGGCGAGAAAACUUUGCAAUGUGCGAAAGCACGACAAGGUUAAUCCGAGUGAUUUCUGCUAAAGAAAUCUUUUGCCAGUCGUAAAACCGCUGGUGAAUAAGGGGUGGGCAAGUUCUGGUGUCAGCCGCCGCGGUAAAACCAGCACCUCAAGUGGUCAGGAUGAUUAUUGGGCCUAAAGCAUCCGUAGCCGGCUUUGUAAGUUUUCGGUUAAAUCCAUGUGCUCAACGCAUGGGCUGCCGAAAAUACUGCAUAGCUAGGGAGUGGGAGAGGUAGACGGUACUCAGUAGGUAGGGGUAAAAUCCUUUGAUCUAUUGAUGACCACCUGUGGCGAAGGCGGUCUACCAGAACACGUUCGACGGUGAGGGAUGAAAGCUGGGGGAGCAAACCGGAUUAGAUACCCGGGUAGUCCCAGCUGUAAACGAUGCAGACUCGAUGAUGCAUUGGCAUAAUAGCCAUUGCAGUGUCGCAGGGAAGCCGUUAAGUCUGCCGCCUGGGAAGUACGUACGCAAGUAUGAAACUUAAAGGAAUUGGCGGGGGAGCACCACAAGGGGUGAAGCCUGCGGUUCAAUUGGAGUCAACGCCGG
rnacentral:rRNA from 1 species